ACAGAACUAGAUGUCCAGAAACCUGGGUCUUAAUUCCAUCCUGAGCACUAUCUCCUCGUACAACCUUGAGCAAGUCCUUUGCCCUUCGGUUUAUAAAAUGAGGUGGGUGGAUCAGGAGUUCUCAAACUGUGCUCCAUGCUACCCUGGGGUUCUAGAAAUUCUGGAGCUCAAGGGCAUCAGUGGGUCAAGAGGACAGAAUGUCAUCAAAUUGGAAUCAUACAGAUUUCAGAUUGGCUUCUUUCACUAAGCAAUAUGCAUGUUACAACACUCUCUUGACAUAGGAGGAGAGAACUUCUUCCUAUCAUCUGCCUAAUGGUCAAACCAGGACCCUGAACAUGAUCCUGAGUCCUCACUCUCUCUCAAAGUCCACAUUCAAUCACCAACUCCUACCAAUUCCCCUGCGGAAGCACAUCUUUAAUUUUCCCACUUUCCACUUCACCCCUGCCACCUGGUUCUGCCUGCAACUGCUGCAAAAGCCAUAUGAUGGAUUUCCCUGCCUCCUGUUUCUCUCCUCUAAUGGAAUCCCCAGACAACAGCCAGAUUGUUUGGAUCCUUAAGCCUGCCUUGAAAGAAGAGGGAGAAGGCUUCAGGGGAAAUGCUCCCCGCGCUGACCCACAGGAUGGCUUCCUUCAACAAAUGCAGCCACCUUUGAUUGGCUGCCUGCUACAAGAGAAACAUCAGGAGGUACGUAUUGCCAUGGGGGGAACUGAAGAUGGAGGACCCCUCAUUUGUGGAAUUGGGAACGGGCUUUGGGUCACAUAAGGCUCAUCCCUGAUGAGCUAGAACGUGGAAGUUACCUGAAUCCAGAAACCGACGUUAGGCUCUGUAAUGGACAUGCAGAGGAAGAAGGACCUGUUGCCACGUCUACAGAGGGGUCAGGAAAGACACACUUGGAAUGACCCUAAGAAACCAUGGGCAAGUCUCCAUUUUCUUCCCUCAGCCAAACCUGUAUGCACUGGUACAGCCAUACCAAUUAUUAAAAUACUGAAAAAC